UUUACGUUCUUAAAUUAGCCUCCAUACUAUCUGCAUUGUCAUGGUAACCUUGGUAGGUCAUAAUAUGUAGAUCCAUAAUCCCGGUUCAAUUUGAGCUUUCCAUGUGAUUUUUUACCUGAAUAUUAGGAUCACAACUUAAUUAACUUAAAUUAGCAGUAUAGUGUCAAUGGACGUCAUCUGAAGCUAAUAAGAUGUUGUUUAUUGAAGAACAGCCCCUUGCUACUUGCACAGUACAUGAAAAGCACACUAAAUAGAUUAAAGAAAUCAUACUUGACUGUGAUUGCAUUUGGUUGAUGCUUACGUGUAUUUCUCAUGGGUAUACCAAGGGGGCAAUCUUCUAUAUUUCAGGUCCAAAGCUUUCAAUGCAUUUUUUUAUCUGUUUUUCAUGUCCCAAUGAUCAUCUGCAAGUCCGAAUUAUGCCAUUGUUGAUGGUGCACAGGUAUGUUGCAUGGUGAACCCAGUAUUGGCCCUCCUUUCAAGCUCCUGUGUUCAUCCUAGAUAAAAUUCUGGAAAAUACGUCGGAACUAUCUUUUAAUCUUCCAACAGUGUAUUGCUAUGAUUAUAUAUAUGGAUACAUCAUAUCGAUGUGUCUAGAGACCUAAAGCCUUAAGAGUUAAGUGCCAAACUGGGGACUGAUAUUAUAACUGCAGAUGGGCUUUAUUCAGGUAUUUUCUUGCCAUAAAUGAUGAUGUUUGCAGAUGGGCUUUGUUCAGUCAUAAGAGCUUAUCAGUUCAGCCUGCAUACUUUUGUUUCUUCAGUGUACUGUGUCUGAGGAAAGCAUUUAUUUUGUCUCCUGUUUAAGUGAAUUCAUGGCUAAGAUGGACGAAUUUCUAUUAUGUGGGCUGGAGGUUCUUGAGUUAGGGCACUAGCACUAGCUAAGCUUCCAUUCUGGUAAAAUGUAUGACAUGCUUGAUGAGCAUGCAUAUCUAUAUGGUUUUGUGGACACUGAUUUAGUUCCAUGCUAGUUUAUUUCCAGCAGUUGGUCUGCUUCUUCAUAGAGAUUUUAUUAGUACUAAAUUAAAUUAGAAACUGAAUGUGUGCUUCUUUCACCUUCAGUCUGAACAUGACAUUGCCUUAUUUGUGACACAGGUGGAAAUUAGCAAGCAAGAUACAGUCGGUGCAUGGAUGACCAAGAUUACUUAUUACUUUAUGAAGAUGAUGAUUCCUGCAUGUUGAUUGUGCUUCAAGGGUAGAAGAGGAUGGGAGGAGGGGACACGCGCUCUAUAUUUUGUUAUGCACACCUUUCUAAACUAUACUUGUCUUCUUAACACAUGUUCAUUGUCCAGUAGAAGCUGUAGAUUUCAGCGUACAAUAAUUUCCAAAAUGGCAGAAGGUCUCUGCGCCAUUUGGCCAUUUGGUCUUUCUCCUGUCGCCAGCGCUUCUUCUUCUCGUCUGUCCUGCUGCUAACCCAACAUGCUUCUGCUUGCUGCCUCGGGUUGUACGAUCUCUUCUGUCGCUGCGUCGUUCGACUCAUCAAGGACAACGGUGAGAAGGGGCUCUUGAGGCGGCUGCACUCGGUCCCCCCCUGCAGCCACACACCACAUCGUCCGACCAUGUUGGUGAAAUUUGCAGAACUGACGGCUUCGCAGUAAGACUAUGGAUGGCUGCUAGGUUUUGGUAAUGGUGAGGACAGGUGCUGCCGAAGAUAAUUCGAGGUUUCUCGGAAAAUCCAGGGGACAAUGUCAUAGUGCUGACAUUGGGGACGAGUUUUGAUACUUCGGGAGAAGCCUAUGACUUUUACAACCUGUGCUUUUGGGAUAAGCGAUUCGGCAUUAGUAGGAAGACUGAAAGACAGUUAAUGGGAAAAUUAUUGGUGUGAUUGAAUAAGUAGUUUCAUGGUUCUGAUGUCUGAUGUAUGAUUAGAGCAUUUUCUCUUAUGGUGUACUGAAUUAUUAAAGAUUGUGUGUGAAUUGUUAAGAUGCAAUUUUUCUAUGUAUGUGUGGAUCCACGGCGGUCCAGACUGUA